rnacentral:misc_RNA from 1 species
AAGUCGUAACAAGGUCUCCGUAGGUGAACCUGCGGAGGGAUCAUUACCAAAUCAAACAACACGAACCAUGUGUGAACGUCCGUGUGGUGGUGGUGGCGUGGCCGAGGGUGCCUGCAUGCAUGUGUGUGUGCGGUGCCUGAACGCGGCGACACCACCGCCAUACAACCGCAACAAAUCAUUGUCAGAGUAACAUCGCAUCAAACGAUAACAACUUUUAACAAUGGAUCUCUUGGCUCUU